UCAGACCAGGCUCUCCUGCUACUUUCCUUCAUUAUGAGCAGGGCUGGUUGUAGCUUAAAGCUGGAGGAUUGUUUCCGCACCAGAGCAUCAGCCUGCAACAUCUAGAACCAGGAUGCCAUCUUUGUACCUCACUGAGAACGCUGAGAAAGGUUGGAUGGAGCUCAUCUUGUAACAUGCCUUUGGAAAGUUGCUGGGUUGGUUCCCGGACCCCUGCAGUGCUAUGAACAGCAUGCUCUGAGGCUCCAGCUUGCCUGGCCUGUCUCUGGUCUGCACCGUGCUCUGCCUGAGCCUGCCUGCCCUAUUCUCUUGAGAAGAUGCUCAAGACUCAAUGCGAAGAAAGGGAAAACCUCACGAAAUUAACAGAAGAUUUAGAGAGACACCACCUCAGUGAGUGCUGGACCUCAUGGGACCAGUACGGAGUCGUUGUCGGUGAAGAAGGAACAAUGAACAUGGCUGUGAUGCUGUUUCUCAAAACCGAGGCUUCUGUUCUCAUCAGUUAACUGCUCACCCUGACCGGAAGCUCCUUCCUCAAACCUCAAAAUGGGCUUUUCUUCCCAGACAAAAAUAUGAAAAGGGGAAGAGGGGUGGACCUGAAAAUGUUCCCUGACAACUAACUAGAACUUCGAACUGUCACAGAAGGGGGCAAUCGCGGUACGCAGACAGAGUUCACCUUGGAGAGCAGAAACUCAAUCUAUCAAUUCACUGGAGGCAACUCAAACUUGGGAAAUACUAAGAGUUUUGAGAUCAUAUUUUAUUUACAAGUAAAUGAAGAUGUUUCCUGUGAGUGCUACUCGGGGACAAGAACAAUAAAAAGAAGUAGUUUCUGUCUCCACAGUGACUUGUGAAAGGAGUCCUGGCCACUGUUUGUUUUUUUUUAACAAUGAUUUUGUCAUUAAAAAUGGGGGGAAAAAGCCACGUGACUUCUUCAUGUUGCACAUGUGAAAGAAUUCAAAAUAAAAAUGACUUUUCAAAACUCUA